rnacentral:rRNA from 1 species
UAGAGUUUGAUCCUGGCUCAGGAUGAACGCUAGCGGCAGGCUUAACACAUGCAAGUCGAGGGGCAGCGAGAUCAGUGCUUGCACUGAUUGUCGGCGACCGGCGCACGGGUGCGUAACGCGUAUGCAACCUACCCAUUACAGGGGGAUAACACUGAGAAAUCGGUACUAAUACCCCAUAACAUCCAGGGAGGCAUCUUCUUGGGUUGAAAACUCCGGUGGUAAUGGAUGGGCAUGCGUUGUAUUAGUUAGUUGGUGGGGUAACGGCUCACCAAGACAACGAUACAUAGGGGGACUGAGAGGUUAACCCCCCACAUUGGUACUGAGACACGGACCAAACUCCUACGGGAGGCAGCAGUGAGGAAUAUUGGUCAAUGGACGCAAGUCUGAACCAGCCAUGCCGCGUGCAGGAAGACGGCUCUAUGAGUUGUAAACUGCUUUUGUACGAGGGUAAACGCAGAUACGCGUAUCUGUCUGAAAGUAUCGUACGAAUAAGGAUCGGCUAACUCCGUGCCAGCAGCCGCGGUAAUACGGAGGAUUCAAGCGUUAUCCGGAUUUAUUGGGUUUAAAGGGUGCGUAGGCGGUCGGAUAAGUUAGAGGUGAAAUCCCGGGGCUCAACUUCGGAAUUGCCUCUGAUACUGUUCGGCUAGAGAGUAGUUGCGGUAGGCGGAAUGUAUGGUGUAGCGGUGAAAUGCUUAGAGAUCAUACAGAACACCGAUUGCGAAGGCAGCUUACCAAGCUACUUCUGACGUUGAGGCACGAAAGCGUGGGGAGCAAACAGGAUUAGAUACCCUGGUAGUCCACGCAGUAAACGAUGAUAACUCGUUGUCGGCGAUACAGUGUCGGUGACUAAGCGAAAGCGAUAAGUUAUCCACCUGGGGAGUACGUUCGCAAGAAUGAAACUCAAAGGAAUUGACGGGGGCCCGCACAAGCGGAGGAACAUGUGGUUUAAUUCGAUGAUACGCGAGGAACCUUACCCGGGCUUGAAAGUUAGUGACGGAUCUUGAAAGAGGUCUUCCCUUCGGGGCACGAAACUAGGUGCUGCAUGGUUGUCGUCAGCUCGUGCCGUGAGGCGUCGGGUUAAGUCCCAUAACGAGCGCAACCCCUACCGUUAGUUGCCAGCAGGUCAAGCUGGGCACUCUGACGGGACUGCCGGUGUAAGCCGAGAGGAAGGUGGGGGUGACGUCAAAUCAGCACGGCCCUUACGUCCGGGGCUACACACGUGUUACAAUGGCAGGUACAGAGGGCAGCUACCCAGCGAUGGGAUGCGAAUCUCGAAAGCCUGUCUCAGUUCGGAUUGGAGGCUGAAACCCGCCUCCAUGAAGUUGGAUUCGCUAGUAAUCGCGCAUCAGCCAUGGCGCGGUGAAUACGUUCCCGGGCCUUGCACUCACCGCCCGUCA